CCCACUCACCUGGUUUUCGCUGGAGGGAAGCGCCAGGAACCGGAAGCAGAGGUUACGUCAUCAGUCCGCGCCAGUGUAACUGCCCGCAGUAACCUAGCAACCGCUGGGCACAGGGACGAUGUGGGGGCGUGGAGCUGAGAGGCCGGGGUUGGGCUAGGCCUGGGGGAGGACGGGUCCCAGGACCCGGGUGAGGCGGGUGAGGGUUCCACACCUGGCAUUCAGUCGGGGUCAAGACGCAGGCAGCUACGCCAAAGGGGAGCAAAGCCGGGCUCGGCCCGAGGCCCCCAGGACCUCCAUCUCCCAAUGCCAGAGGAAUCUGCCACGUGACGGUCGGACCGCCCUCUCCGACUAGAAGAGCCCCGAAAGCGCCAUGGCUCGCCGGAAGCCGCUCUGCCUUCCGUCCCUGCUGCUGCCGCUCCUGACGCUGCUGCUGCCCCAGGCAGACACUCGGUCGUUCGUAGUGGAUCGGGAUCAUGACAGAUUCCUCCUGGACGGGGCCCCGUUCCGCUACGUGUCUGGCAGCCUGCACUACUUUCGGGUACCGCGGGUGCUUUGGGCAGAUCGGCUUUUGAAGAUGCGAAUGAGUGGCCUCAACGCUGUACAGUUUUACGUGCCCUGGAACUACCAUGAGCCAGCGCCUGGGGUCUAUAACUUUAAUGGCAGCCGCAACCUCUUUGCAUUUCUGAAAGAGGCAACUUUAGCAAACCUGUUGGUCAUACUGAGACCAGGACCUUACAUCUGUGCAGAGUGGGAGAUGGGGGGUCUCCCAGCCUGGUUGCUUCGAAAACGUAAAAUUCAUCUGAGAACCUCAGAUCCAGACUUCCUUGCUGCAGUGGACUCCUGGUUCAAGGUCUUGCUACCCAAGAUACAUCCAUGGCUCUACCACAAUGGGGGCAACAUCAUUAGCAUCCAGGUGGAGAAUGAAUACGGUAGCUACAGGGCCUGCGAUGUGAGCUACAUGAGGCACCUGGCUGGGCUCUUCCGUGCACUGCUUGGAGACAAGAUCUUGCUCUUCACCACAGAUGGGCCUGAAGGACUCAAAUGUGGCUCCCUCCAGGGACUCUAUACCACUGUAGAUUUUGGCCCAGCUGACAACAUGACCAAAAUCUUUGCCCUGCUUCGGAAGUAUGAACCCCAUGGGCCAUUGGUGAACUCUGAGUACUACACAGGCUGGCUGGAUUACUGGGGCCAGAAUCAUUCCACACGCUCCGUUCCAGCUGUAACCAAAGGACUAGAGAAAAUGCUGAAGUUGGGAGCCAGUGUGAACAUGUACAUGUUCCAUGGAGGUACCAACUUUGGAUACUGGAAUGGUGCUGAUGAGAAGGGACGCUUUCUUCCAAUUACUACCAGCUAUGACUACGACGCACCCAUAUCUGAAGCAGGGGACCCCACACCUAAGCUUUUUGCUAUUCGAAAUGUCAUCAGCAAGUUCCAGGAAGUUCCCUUGGGACCUUUACCUCCCCCCAGCCCCAAGAUGAUGCUUGGACCUUUGACCCUACACCUGGAUGGGAGUUUGCUGGCUUUCCUAGACUUCCUGUGCCCCCAAGGGCCUAUCAGUUCAAUCUUGCCAAUGACCUUUGAGGCUGUCAAACAGGACCAUGGCUAUAUGUUGUACCGGAGCUAUUUGACCCAUACUGUUUCUGAGCCAACACAAUUCUGGGUGCCAAACAACGGAGUCCAUGACCGUGCCUACGUGAUGGUGGAUGGGGUAUUUCAGGGUGUUUUGGAACGAAACAUGAAACACAACCUAUUUUUGACGGGGAAAAGGGGGGCCAAACUGGAUGUCUUGCUGGAGAACAUGGGGAGGCUCAGUUUCGGGUCUAACAGCAGUGACUUCAAGGGCCUAUUAGAGGCACCGAUUCUGGGGCAGACAAUCCUUACCCAGUGGCUGAUGUUCCCUCUGAAAGUUGACAGUCUUGUAAAGUGGUGGUUUCCCACCCAGUUGCUGAAAAGUUCACGUCCUCAAACUCCCUCUGGCCCCACCUUCUACUCUACAACCUUUCCAAUUUUAGACUCAGGCGGGGACACUUUUCUCUUUCUACCUGGAUGGACCAAGGGCCAAGUCUGGAUCAACGGGUUUAACUUGGGCCGCUACUGGACAAAGCGGGGGCCACAACAGACCCUCUACGUGCCAAGACCCCUGCUGUUUCCUAGGGGAGCCCUCAACAGAAUCACAUUGCUGGAGCUAGAAAAUGUGCCUCCUCCGCCCCAGAUCCAAUUCCUGGAUAGGCCUAUCCUCAAUAGCACUAUGCAUAAGACAUACAUCUACUCCCUCUCAGCUGAAAGUUUCUCUGAACCAAUGGAGUUAAGUGGGCACUGAAAGAAAGGUAACCCUUGGACCUGGGACAUGGAUUGGGCAGGAUUCCUUGGUGCUAGCCAUGGUGACCAUAAGGAAACAAAGACCACAGCCUGAAUGUUCCCAGAACGUUUCACAUCCCCUCGACAGCCUUUCUGAACACUGAGCAGGAACUCAUUCUACUUGUCCAGAAUGGUCUCUACCGCAUCACAACCCACCCACUCACACCCACCCCCUCCACACACCG